rnacentral:lncRNA from 1 species
CUCUCUGUUUUUGCUACUGAGACCAUGGGACAAGCAUGGGAUAGAGCCUCAUUUGCUAGGAAUCAGAGCACAUCACCAAAAGGAUGGAGGGCAUAGGCUAUGUGCGUGUUCUCUUUUUGUGUAUAUUCCAAGGGGUAGCCCCUGAUACAAAUUUUUGCCACCUCUUGGAGUAGGGGAAGUUUCAUCCUAGUUACUGGUAUGGCGGACCUGCCAGAGAUCUCCCAUAGUGGAACUUGGAAGGAUAAAUCCUUUAAGGGCAUUUGAAUUGCUUGGGCCCAGAGUGUGGAGUGGUUGAAUAUAUUGAAGUUUCCUCUUGUUUUUCCUUUGUUCUGUGUUUCUGUUUUUACGUUGCAGAGAUUUGUGUUAAACAAGAAUUCCGUAUUAUGUGAUCCUAGAAGUCUGCUUUCAUCAGACCUGUCCUACUUCUGUUCCUCCAAACUACUGUGAUCGCUUCUAUUUUUCAGCUAAGUUAGACCCACCUCUUUGGUGGACCUGACUUCUUGUGCAGUGUGUUCCUCCGAUCUCUUCCUUCCUUCCUUCCUUCCUUCCUUCCUUCCUUCCUUCCUUUCUUUCUUUCUUUCUUUCUUUCUUUCUUUCUUUCUUUCUUUCUUUCUUUCUUUCUUUCUUUCUUUCUUUCUUUCUUUCUUUCUUUCUUUCUUUCUUUCUUUCUUUCUUUCUUUCUUUCUUUCUUUCUUUCUUUCUUUCUUUCUUUCUUUCUUUCUUUCUUUCUUUCUCUCUCUCUCUCUCUCUCUCUCUCUCUCUCUCUCUCUCUCUCUCUCUCUCUUUCUUUCUUUCUUUCUUUCUUUCUUUCUUUCUUCCUUCCUUCCUUACUUUCUUCCUUUGUUCCUUUCUUCCUUUCUUCUUCCUAAUUCACAUAACUGUUUCCCUCCCCUUUUCUAUAGCUACAAAAUUUCUCCCAUUCUUAAGUGAGGGGGUAUGACUGUAUACCUUAUCCUUGUUCCAUCUGGAGACCAUUUUUUUCUAUAGCUGUCAUCUCUCUUGAGCCUUGGAGAUCUAAUUUAAGAUUUUCAAAAUAUCCAAAGAAUAGAGUUGUCCUUAGACAAUGAGUCUGCCCUAUUUCUUUGUCUAUAGAGUAUAUUAUUGAAGCUCAAGAAGCAGGAAAGUCAGGACCAAUGGACUCCUGAAAUAAUCAGCUAUUUUUUCCUACAAAUAUAUUUGUAGUGACUUAUUUCAUUUCUCUCCUACUUUUUACUGUUUUGUUGAAUUCUUGAGCAACUUUUUGUUGUUAUCAUUGAUGUAAGACAGUGGGGGGAGAAGAUGGACCUUGGACUGCUUCUUAUUUUGUCAUCUUCCCAGGAUAGUUAAUGUUUGAAGAAUUCACAAAAUACAGAGAAAACAAUGCAAAAAUGUCAUUUACAUUCUGAUAUGUAGAGGUCCCAGAAGAUCUUAGACUGAUUCAACUAAAGAUACCUUCAAUAAAAUGACUUUUACUUUGUGCUGGACA